rfam:Cricetulus griseus cell line CHO-K1, whole genome shotgun sequence.
GGAGAGAUAGCUCAGUAGUUAAGAGCACUGGUUGCUUUUCCAGAAGACCUGGGUUCUAUUCCCAGCACCCCCA